rnacentral:rRNA from 1 species
CAGUGGGGAAUCUUGCACAAUGGGCGAAAGCCUGAUGCAGCGACGCCGCGUGGAGGAUGAAGGUUUUCGGAUUGUAAACUCCUUUUGCAGGGGAAGAUAAUGACGGUACCCUGCGAAUAAGCCACGGCUAACUCUGUGCCAGCAGCCGCGGUAAGACAGAGGUGGCGAGCGUUGUUCGGAAUUACUGGGCUUAAAGGGCGCGUAGGCGGUGGUGCAAGUCUGAGGUGGAAUGCUACGGCUUAACCGUAGCACUGCCCUGGAAACUGCAUUACUUGAGUCGGUUAGGGGAUGGCGGAAUUCCUGGUGUAGCGGUGAAAUGCGUAGAUAUCAGGAGGAAGGUCUGUGGCGAAGGCGGCCAUCUGGGAUUUGACUGACGCUGAGGCGCGAAAGCGUGGGGAGCAAACWGGAUUAGAUACCCUGGUAGUCCACGCCCUAAACGGUGGGUACUAGGUGUGGGGCUCGCAAGAGUUCUGUGCCGAAGCGAAAGCAUUAAUACCCCGC